GACGAACCGUGCGAACGUUAUUCGGAAUCACUGGGCUUAAAGGGCGCGUAGGCGGGCCGCAUAGUCAGGGGUGAAAUCCUCCAGCUUAACUGGAGAAGUGCCUCUGAUACUGGCGGCCUCGAGGGGUGCAGGGGCGUGCGGAACUUAGGGUGGAGCGGUGAAAUGCGUAGAUAUCCUAAGGAACACCGGUGGCGAAGGCGGCACGCUGGACACCUUCUGACGCUGAGGCGCGAAAGCCAGGGGAGCAAAC
rnacentral:rRNA from 1 species